rnacentral:miRNA from 1 species
UAUGGAAACUGGAACCAGGUUUGUGUGG